GCCAUGUGCAAACUACAACUUUUUUGCAGGUCUGCAAUCUGCAAAGAUAAAUCUGAUAUAAUGAUCCCAACUUCUUAGUUAGCUCCCAUAUAAGUAUCGCAUUAAAUUCAUAAUCGCACAAUAUUUAUUCAAGAGCACAUUAAGCGUUUCAAACGUGCCAUUCAGAAAGCCUAAGAUGUUAUUCCUCUGGCUGGAUCGGCGGAUUCAUGUCCCGAAUCAGCACAAGAUGUCAGAGCCAUAUUGGGACAUUGGCGGCUUCACUUUUCUACAAUGGAAGAGAGUGGAGAUUCAUGCAAUGGAAGUCAAUGGACACCAAUGUUGUUUGGACCCUAUGCAAUGUUCUUCAAAAUGUCUUCUUUUGUGUUCCACAUACAGGUCAUACAGGUUUGGAGCAACGUGAAGGCUGAGUAAAUGAUGACAGAGUUUUCACUCUUCUUUUAAAAUGUGAUUUCUUUCUCAUCUAACACUGACUUUGUUAGUGCUUUCUAAUGUUUAUCAUAUUUUUGCAAUGAAUAAAACCAGUUAAUUUAGAUGUUAUACCUUCUAUUAAUAUGUGUCCUUUAAAUUAGUUUUAUCGCAAUUA